rnacentral:rRNA from 1 species
CACUUUAGUUCAGGAAGAAGUUGAGCAGUUUAAGAGAUGGUUCAAUUGACUGUACUGAAAGAAUAAGCACCGGCUAACUCUGUGC